rfam:Salmo salar isolate Sally breed double haploid chromosome ssa11, whole genome shotgun sequence.
UGCUCGCAUGACUGUAAGUCGCGUCGGAUAAAAGCAUCUGCUAAAUGGCAUAUA